AACGAACGCUGGCGGCAGGCUUAACACAUGCAAGUCGAGCGCCCCGCAAGGGGAGCGGCAGACGGGUGAGUAACGCGUGGGAAUCUACCCAUCUCUACGGAAUAACGCAUGGAAACGUGUGCUAAUACCGUAUACGUCCUUCGGGAGAAAGAUUUAUCGGAGAUGGAUGAGCCCGCGUUGGGUUAGCUAGUUGGUGGGGUAAAGGCCUACCAAGGCGACGAUCCAUAGCUGGUCUGAGAGGAUGAUCAGCCACACUGGGACUGAGACACGGCCCAGACUCCUACGGGAGGCAGCAGUGGGGAAUAUUGGACAAUGGGCGCAAGCCUGAUCCAGCCAUGCCGCGUGAGUGAUGAAGGCCCUAGGGUUGUAAAGCUCCUUCACCGGUGAAGAUAAUGACGGUAACCGGAGAAGAAGCCCCGGCUAACUUCGUGCCAGCAGCCGCCGUAACAC
rnacentral:rRNA from 1 species